rnacentral:misc_RNA from 1 species
UUUCCGUAGGUGAACCAGCGGAAGGAUCAUUAUCGUACAAAAUGUGAGGGGCAUGCGAGGGCUGUCGCUGACCCAAAAGUCGUGCACGCCCGAGUGUGUCCUCUUGCAUAAUAAUCCAUCUCACCCUUUGUGCAUCACCGCGUGGGCACCCUUCGGGAUCAUCUCGGAGGGGGGCUCGCGUUUUCACACAAACCCCCCUUUUAAAAGUAUAGAAUGACCACAUUUAUGCAAUCAAUACAACUUUCAACAACGGAUCUCUUGGCUCUC